CCUCCUGCACGCCCCACUGGGGAUUGAGCCUGCAACCUGGGAUGUGCCCUGACUGGGAAUCGAACCGGGACCUUCUGGUGCAUAGACGACACUCAACGUACUGAGCCACACCAUCCAGGGCUGUCAGGUGCCUCGGCCAUUGCCAGCCACUGCCUGUUUCGCCGCCAGCACCAGCACCAUGAACCGGCUGCUGUCUUUCUAGAUCCUCCCUUGACUUCUCUGUCACUUUUCCAGCAUCGGAGUGUUUUAGCAAUUUACAUGCUCUCUGCCUGAAGAACGUUUCAUAGAGAGAGGAAUGGAGAGGGACAGAGAGUUAGAAAC